AUUGAACGCUGGCGGCAUGCCUUACACAUGCAAGUCGAACGGUAACAGGUCUUCGGAUGCUGACGAGUGGCGAACGGGUGAGUAAUACAUCGGAACGUGCCCGAGAGUGGGGGAUAACGAGGCGAAAGCUUUGCUAAUACCGCAUACGAUCUCAGGAUGAAAGCGGGGGACCGUAAGGCCUCGCGCGAUUGGAGCGGCCGAUGUCAGAUUAGGUAGUUGGUGGGGUAAAGGCUCACCAAGCCAACGAUCUGUAGCUGGUCUGAGAGGACGACCAGCCACACUGGGACCGAGACACGGCCCAGACUCCUACGGGAGGCAGCAGUGGGGAAUUUUGGACAAUGGGCGCAAGCCUGAUCCAGCAAUGCCGCGUGCAGGAAGAAGGCCCUCGGGUUGUAAACUGCUUUUGUACGGAACGAAAAGCUUCGGGUUAAUACCCUGGAGUCAUGACGGUACCGUAAGAAUAAGCACCGGCUAACUACGUGCCAGCCGCCGCAGUAAUAC
rnacentral:rRNA from 1 species